rnacentral:rRNA from 1 species
CCAACGCUGGCGGCGUGGAUAAGACAUGCAAGUCGAACGAGAGAAUUGCUAGCUUGCUAAUAAUUCUCUAGUGGCGCACGGGUGAGUAACACGUGAGUAACCUGCCCCCGAGAGCGGGAUAGCCCUGGGAAACUGGGAUUAAUACCGCAUAGUAUCGAAAGAUUAAAGCAGCAAUGCGCUUGGGGAUGGGCUCGCGGCCUAUUAGUUAGUUGGUGAGGUAACGGCUCACCAAGGCGAUGACGGGUAGCCGGUCUGAGAGGAUGUCCGGCCACACUGGAACUGAGACACGGUCCAGACACCUACGGGUGGCAGCAGUCGAGAAUCAUUCACAAUGGGGGAAACCCUGAUGGUGCGACGCCGCGUGGGGGAAUGAAGGUCUUCGGAUUGUAAACCCCUGUCAUGUGGGAGCAAAUUAAAAAGAUAGUACCACAAGAGGAAGAGACGGCUAACUCUGUGCCAGCAGCCGCGGUAAUACAGAGGUCUCAAGCGUUGUUCGGAAUCACUGGGCGUAAAGCGUGCGUAGGCUGUUUCGUAAGUCGUGUGUGAAAGGCGCGGGCUCAACCCGCGGACGGCACAUGAUACUGCGAGAUUAGAGUAAUGGAGGGGGAACCGGAACUCUCGGUGUAGCAGUGAAAUGCGUAGAUAUCGAGAGGAACACUCGUGGCGAAGGCGGGUUCCUGGACAUUAACUGACGCUGAGGCACGAAGGCCAGGGGAGCGAAAGGGAUUAGAUACCCCUGUAGUCCUGGCAGUAAACGGUGCACGCUUGGUGUGCGGGGAAUAGACCCCCUGCGUGCCGGAGCUAACGCGUUAAGCGUGCCGCCUGGGGAGUACGGUCGCAAGAUUAAAACUCAAAGAAAUAGACGGGGACCCGCACAAGCGGUGGAGUAUGUGGCUUAAUUCGAUGCAACGCGAAGAACCUUACCUGGGCUUGACAUGUAAUGAACAACAUGUGAAAGCAUGCGACUCUUCGGAGGCGUUACACAGGUGCUGCAUGGCCGUCGUCAGCUCGUGUCGUGAGAUGUUUGGUUAAGUCCAGCAACGAGCGCAACCCCUGUUGCCAGUUACCAGCACGUGAAGGUGGGGACUCUGGCGAGACUGCCCAGAUCAACUGGGAGGAAGGUGGGGAGGACGUCAGGUCAGUAUGGCCCUUAUGCCCAGGGCUGCACACGUACUACAAUGCCCAGUACAGAGGGGGCGGAAGCCGCGAGGCGGAGGAAAUCCUAAAAACUGGGCCCAGUUCGGACUGUAGGCUGCAACCCGCCUACACGAAGCCGGAAUCGCUAGUAAUGGCGCAUCAGCUACGGCGCCGUGAAUAAGUUCCCGGGUCUUGCACA